GGCCGCCUGGCGAAAUGGCAUCGCGUCUGACUACGAUAAUCCCAGGCCCACUCUGCGUAAUCAGGAGAUUGCAGGUUCGACCCCUGCGGUGGUCA